CUGGCUGGGGGCACGGCGGGCUCUCCGGCGCGUCGUGACCGUCCUGCCGCGGCCCCGCCGGCACACGCACGCCGCCGCGAUCGUGACAGCUCCUGCCGGCCGGGCCGCGAGGGCCGGGGGGAGCCUCUCCCACGGCCGCGUCCAGAGCGGGAGGUUCAGGGGAAGGAGUGAAAGGAAGAACAACAGCUCCGGCAUUUCCCCCCUGCAGACGGGCGUGCAGGUGGCGGCGGAGACAAUAGCGACCCCAGCGCCCCGGGCACGGCCGCCUCCUCCAAACCGCCCGGCAGGAAACUGGACGUGAUGUGGAAUUAGAGCCUACCCAGCUGAAGCCACCCAACACUUACUACAAAUAUAGCCGUGAUGCGUAGGCCACAAAAUGGCUCCACUCACUUUUCCCAAUGAAAAGCAAAUGGAUUUAGCAGUUUUAUCCCGAUGCGGGUGUCCUUCCUCUCUGUAAAGUCGUAAGUACCUUGAGGUGGGAGGAGUAAAUUCAGCCUGACACUGAGAGCGCUUUUGUUGAAACAGGAGAGACUUGCGGUGUCCCUACUUAAAUAUGACACAUACAGAUGGAGAGAUAUGGGGGGAAAAUUGGUUUUCUCUCGCAAUUCAACAAUCUGGUUCAGUUAGCCCAGCAGAAACGAAGGAAAAAAUUACCCAACCCAAACCAGCAGGAAGAUCGGGAAUGAGACCCGAAAUAUUCCAACUUUCUGCUCCGCGAAGCCCCUAAUUUAUAGAAAAAAUCCGAACGAGGGGGAUAGUGGGAGAAAUUAGAUGGAAAUAGUGGCGAUAUCCCUCCCUCCCCUCAUCGUUAGCUGCCUUAUCCCGACAGUAAUCGUUAUAAUUGGGAAGGGAGCGGGGAACGCUGGAGACAAUCAUGUGCAGUCGUGUCUGAAAGGCUGCUCCGUGCAAAGCGCCUUGCCUCUUCCUUCUUCCUGCAUUAGGACGAUGGACAGGCCGCCCGCCCCGCCGCCCCCCAGUGACCCCCGCGAUGCCCGGCCCCCCCGGCGGCACGAGUCGGAAGCGGAAAACACGAGCGAGCCGGAGAGCAGCCGCGGGGGGAUGGAGGCGCCGGGAGACCCCCAGCUGCUGCUCAACGGGGCGGCCAAGGAGGCGGGCCGGCCCUCCCCCGGGCCCCCCGCAGCCGCCGUGCCCGUCAUCGAGCUGGUGCGCCGGGGGGGCUCCCUGGACAUAAAAGGCCGGGAGGCGCCGGCGGAGGCGAUGCAGAGAGCGCCGGGCGCCGAGCCGUGCCGCGCCGCCGAGGCCGCCUGCGAGGCCCGCAUGGUGCAGCUGAGCCCCCCCGCGCUCCCGCUGCAGCCCCCCGGCAGGGCCAUGCUCUACAACCUGGGCCAGCCGCUGGCCACCAUCAACAGCGGGUUCUUCGGGGAGCCGGACUCCUUCUCCAUGUACGGCGGCAACCGCGUCAAGAGGAGACCUUCCCCGUACGAGAUGGAGAUCACCGACGGUCCUCAUACAAAAGUGGUUCGCCGCAUUUUUACCAAUAGUCGGGAGAGGUGGAGACAGCAGAAUGUCAAUGGAGCCUUUGCAGAGCUUCGCAAACUCAUCCCAACUCACCCACCCGAUAAGAAACUGAGCAAGAAUGAGAUUUUACGCCUAGCUAUGAAAUACAUAAACUUCCUGGCCAAGCUGCUCAAUGACCAGGAGGAAGAGGGAAACCAAAGGGGCAAGGUGAACAAAGACUCUGGGAUAGUCCAAGAAGACCUCCUGCAGGACAUGUUGUCUCCUAACUCCAGCUGUGGAAGUUCUUUAGAUGGAGCAGCAAGCCCAGACAGCUUCACGGAAGAACAUGAAACACUAGAUUCAAAGCAUACACGGAGUAUGCAUCACUCCAUUCUUCCCGUAGAAGGCAAUGCGCAGCGAUGAUGAUCUUCCAAACUGCUCCUAAAGCACGAAGGGGAAAGGAAGAGCUGACUAUGUGGAUACUGGAAUUUGUACCCUUGGAAUUUCUGACUCUGCAUUUACAGAAGGCCCCGGGGACUCGGGCUCUGAGUCCUCACAGCCCCAGGACUGAGAGGACAGCGAGCUGGCUGAGAACAAGACCAAAACAGAUUGAUGUUCGACAUUUAGGCUGGAUUUUGGGCUCUGGAUUCAAAAUAAGGCAUUAGUAGGAUCUUUGUCUGCCUGAGGCUGGUAGGAGGCCACAGCCUCUCACAAUCUUGGGGUGAAAUGCUAAUAGCACCAAUGGGAUUACCCUCCAUUCCCAAGAGUUUAGACAGCUUCAAAAUCGAUGGCCGUGAUCAACCUGAUUCUGCUAAAACAGGAAUAAUCCUCUGACCCGCUGCUGCCCUCCAGAAAAGCAUUUGAGAAAUGAAACAACUCAAAAGCAGGAGGUAGUUUCACGACCCCUAGAAAUUGGUGCUGUUCCACUGGCUGCAAGUACGAUGCUGGCUGAUGUGAGCUGAGGAUUUCACCUGUGCCCAUCCCAGGCACGGUGCAGGCAGCCCGACCCUGCUGCCUAAUGACUGACGGAGCGAUUGCCCCAUGCCCAUCCCUUCCCUCUGCAGAGAUUUCAAGGCAAAGAAAUCUCCACCAUGUCAUAGUGAAAAAAAUACCCCAUUCUUUGUACGGGAGAAGUACGCAGAGCGAGGAUGCUUUCCAACUUGCUAAUUCCUUUUCGGAGAUGCUGAGGUACAAGGAAACGCAGAGGAUUUGUGUGUGUGUGUGUGUGUGCAAAAAUUCAGGCCUUGCUAUUUGCAAGCUAGAUCCAGGCUUACUCUGGAUCAGUUCAGUUAUUUCUAUCCCUUGUUGUUAGCUCUUCUCUCCUCUUUGGAGGUAAUAUGUGUGAGGCUGGCUUUUCUCGGCAGGGUGUGCUGAGUGGAAGGUGUUGCCCGGGAAGGGAUCCUGGUAUGAACAAGGGUUUCCAGUUAGCCCCUCAUAUCCUUGAAUACUGGAAGCUUCACUGAUCUUAAAUUGGAGGAAAGAUCCUUCUCGGGUCAAGACUGCCUGUGCAUGGAGACUUUUAAUAGGGAGGUUACCCAGUGGGGCUGGGCAAGGGCAGAGGCGCCCGGUGGUGGAGUGAUGCCAAGGAAGAAGAGAGGCUGCUACCGGUCCCAUGUUUUGGGCUGCUCGUUACUGCCUUGUCUGGGUCUGAGGGGUAGGAGAGGAGGGCAGAGGGGUUUUGGCAGGCAGGAGCCCGAUGCCCCAGCCAGGGCUGCAGGGCACGGUCCCCUCGGACGCCGCUUGCAAGCACCAGCCCUCCCGGCGAGGGCGAGAGACAGUGCCACGCAAAUAAAGCCGUGUUCUCGGUUUUGAACCCUUCACGGGGAAACCGUUGCAAGAAAAAUCACCGAUGCUCAGAAAUUCUUCAUUCCCUAUAUAUAUAUAUACAUUUUUUUUUUCCUUCUUAUCGGUAGCUGAGAAGUUAACGAAAUGGUACAACUCUCCAACACGCGCACACACACCCCGCGCACCCUGCUCCCGUUUGCAGCCUCUAGCAGAGCCCGCCGUAGGCCUCUCCGGGGUAUGUGUAGUUGUACUCUGUGAUUUGAAUGGUACAUUUCCUCGGCCCGUCUUUCCCCCUGCCUGCUGUAUGUCUCGGUGUGUGGAACAUCACCCCGUUUCUGUUCGAAACAGCACUUUCGGUCAAUGUCGUACCGUGUGAUUGAAUUCUCUUCUUACGAUUAUUUUUUUUUUCAGCCCUGACCCUUUCUCGCCCGCCCUCCCCUUGGAUUUCUGCAUUUUUUCUGCAGAAAUGAAGUAACCAGACCUGGUACCCUGAUUCUCGACCCACUGUGGAUGUGCUAUUUAGAAAACACAUUUGUUGUAAUGUGUGUGUACAUAUAAAUAUAUAUAUAUAAUGAAUAUAUCAAGGAUAUUUCUAAAUAAAGUUUUACAAAGCAGC